UACGUAGGGCGCAAGCGUUGUCCGGAAUUAUUGGGCGUAAAGAGCUCGUAGGCGGUUUGUCGCGUCUGCCGUGAAAGUCCGGGGCUCAACUCCGGAUCUGCGGUGGGUACGGGCAGACUAGAGUGAUGUAGGGGAGACUGGAAUUCCUGGUGUAGCGGUGAAAUGCGCAGAUAUCAGGAGGAACACCGAUGGCGAAGGCAGGUCUCUGGGCAUUAACUGACGCUGAGGAGCGAAAGCUAGGGGAGCAAACGGG
rnacentral:rRNA from 1 species